rnacentral:misc_RNA from 1 species
GAUGAAGAACGUAGCGAAAUGCGAUAAGUAAUGUGAAUUGCAGAAUUCAGUGAAUCAUCGAAUCUUUGAACGCACAUUGCGCCCGCCAGUAUUCUGGCGGGCAUGCCUGUUCGAGCGUCAUUACAACCCUCAGGCCCCCGGGCCUGGCGUUGGGGAUCGGCGGAAGCCCCCUGCGGGCACAACGCCGUCCCCCAAAUACAGUGGCGGUCCCGCCGCAGCUUCCAUUGCGUAGUAGCUAACACCUCGCAACUGGAGAGCGGCGCGGCCACGCCGUUAAACCCCCCACUUCUGAAAGUUUGACCUCGGAUCAGGUAGGAAUACCCGCUGAACUUAAGCAUAUCAAUAAGCGGAGGA